GACCCCAUAGCUCAGUGGUAGAGCGUGUGAUUCCAGCUUUACAGACUCCACAAGGUCAUCCGUUCAAUCCGGGUUGGGGUCA